UUGAGCUUAACGUUUCUCUCUGUUCCCAGAGCGAAACCGAAGCGCCACGUCCGCAAAUUAGAUCUAACAAAAACCAGUGCCGACGAUUGCUGUGGUCACUACAAACCAAAUGGAAAGUCGCCGCUAUUAAAAUCGUACAUUCAGUUAUUCACAAAACCUUACAAUUUCUUCAUUUCUGCAAUGGAGGACGCCUACGCCAGAUCAGUUGCCGAGGUUUUGGAUUUUUUUGGGGUGGACCCGAAUAAGGGUCUCAGUGAUUCUCAGGUAGUUCUUAAUGCAAAAAUUCAUGGUAAAAAUGUGCUGCCUGAAGAGAAAAGGACUCCCUUCUGGAAAUUGGUUCUGAAACAGUUUGAUGAUUUGCUUGUUAAGAUAUUAAUAGCUGCUGCCAUUGUUUCUUUCAUUUUAGCUUUGGUUAAUGGAGAGACUGGAUUAACAGCUUUUUUGGAGCCCUUUGUUAUCCUGUUGAUUUUAGCUGCCAAUGCUGCUGUAGGGGUAAUCACAGAAACAAAUGCUGAGAGGGCUCUUGAAGAGCUGCGUGCCUACCAAGCUGAUAUUGCAACUGUGCUUCGAAAUGGUUGCUUUUCCAUACUUCCAGCAACAGAUCUUGUUCCAGGUGAUAUUGUGGAAGUCUGUGUGGGAAGCAAGGUUCCAGCUGACAUGAGAAUGAUUGAGAUGCUAAGCGAUCAGUUACGCGUUGAUCAAGCAAUACUUACUGGUGAGAGCUUUUCUGUGGAAAAGGAACUCAAGUCCACAACUGCAAUAAAUGCUGUAUACCAAGACAAGACAAAUAUUCUUUUUUCGGGUACUGUAGUGGUUGCUGGUCGGGCAAGAGCUGUUGUUGUUGGAGUUGGUGCCAACACUGCUAUGGGCAGCAUACGUGAUUCUAUGCUGCAAACAGAUGAUGAAGCAACACCAUUGAAGAAGAAGUUGGAUGAAUUUGGUACUUUUUUGGCUAAGGUUAUUGCGGGGAUUUGUGUGCUGGUAUGGAUUGUGAACAUAGGCCACUUUCAUGAUCCUUCCCAUGGUGGCUUCUUGCGUGGUGCAAUCCACUAUUUCAAGAUUGCAGUUGCUCUUGCAGUUGCAGCAAUUCCUGAAGGGCUUCCUGCUGUUGUUACAACGUGUUUGGCCCUUGGAACAAAGCGCAUGGCUCGUUUGAAUGCCAUUGUACGAUCUUUGCCAUCAGUAGAGACUCUAGGCUGCACAACAGUGAUUUGCAGUGACAAGACUGGAACAUUGACAACUAAUAUGAUGUCCGUAUCGAAGAUAUGUGUUGUUCACUCUUUUCACCAUCAUCCUAUGAUUGCUGAAUACAAUGUCAGUGGGACAACAUAUGCUCCUGAGGGCAUAAUUUUUGAUAGCAGUGGGAUACAGCUUGAAUUUCCAGCUCAGUUGCCUUGUCUGCUUCACGUGGCAAUGUGUUCAGCUCUUUGCAAUGAGUCUGUCUUACAGUAUAAUCCAGAAAAAGGAAAUUAUGAAAAAAUUGGGGAGUCAACUGAAGUAGCAUUGCGUGCUCUUGCAGAGAAGGUUGGCAUUCCUGGUUUUGAUUCUAUGCCUUCUGCACUGCAUGUGCUGAGCAAGCAUGAGCGUGCCUCUUACUGCAACCACUAUUGGGAAAACCAAUUCAAAAAGGUUUCCAUAUUGGAAUUCUCUCGUGAUAGGAAAAUGAUGAGUGUCUUAUGUAGUCGAAAGCAGACUGAGAUUAUGUUUUCAAAAGGCGCUCCAGAGAGUAUCAUCUCUAGAUGUUCUAACAUCCUUUGCAAUGACGAUGGUUCCACUGUUCCUCUGUCUGCUGCUAUCAGAGAUGAGAUAGAGUCAAGAUUCCACAGUUUUGCAGGGAAAGAAACAUUAAGAUGUCUGGCUUUAGCCAUGAAACAGAUGCCCAUGGGCCUACAGAGCCUUUCCUUUGACGAUGAGAAGGACCUUACAUUUAUUGGGUUGGUUGGAAUGCUUGAUCCACCAAGAGAGGAAGUGAGAAAUGCUAUGCUUUCAUGCAUGACUGCUGGUAUACGUGUAAUAGUUGUUACUGGGGACAAUAAGUCAACAGCUGAAUCACUUUGUCGAAAGAUUGGUGCUUUUGAUCAUUUGGAAGAUUUUGUGGGAUGCUCAUAUACAGCCUCUGAAUUUGAAGAACUCCCAGCAUUGCAGCAAACACUGGCUUUGCAACGUAUGGCACUGUUUACCAGGGUUGAACCUGCUCAUAAAAGGAUGCUAGUGGAGGCCUUACAGAACCAAAAUGAAGUGGUGGCAAUGACUGGUGAUGGUGUUAAUGAUGCACCAGCCCUAAAGAAAGCAGAUAUAGGAAUUGCCAUGGGGUCUGGAACAGCAGUUGCAAAGAGUGCUUCUGAUAUGGUUUUGGCUGAUGAUAAUUUUGCUUCUAUUGUUGCGGCUGUUGCGGAGGGAAGGGCUAUAUACAAUAACACAAAGCAAUUCAUCAGAUAUAUGAUCUCUUCAAAUAUUGGUGAAGUUGUUUGUAUUUUUGUUGCAGCUGUACUUGGAAUACCUGAUACCUUGGCUCCUGUCCAGUUGCUCUGGGUUAAUUUGGUUACCGAUGGAUUGCCUGCCACUGCAAUUGGUUUUAACAAGCAAGAUUCAGAUGUGAUGAAGGCUAAACCUCGCAAGGUGAAUGAAGCAGUUGUUAAUGGGUGGUUGUUUUUUCGCUAUUUGGUAAUUGGAGCCUAUGUUGGCCUUGCAACAGUUGCAGGUUUCGUGUGGUGGUUUGUAUACUCUGACAGUGGUCCCAAACUACCAUACAAUGAAUUGAUGAAUUUUGACUCUUGCUCAACAAGGGAGACUACUUAUCCAUGCAGUAUAUUUGAGGAUAAACAUCCAUCAACAGUCUCCAUGACUGUGCUUGUCGUUGUUGAGAUGUUUAAUGCUUUGAACAAUCUCAGCGAAAAUCAAUCACUUUUUGUUAUCCCUCCCUGGAGUAAUUUAUGGCUUGUUGGUUCCAUCAUCCUGACUAUGAUGUUUCACAUGCUAAUUUUGUAUGUGCAUCCCCUUUCUGUUCUUUUCUCUGUAACACCGUUAUCUUGGGCUGAGUGGACUGUUGUUCUAUAUCUUUCAUUCCCUGUAUGAAGUGAUCUUCACCUUCCCAGUUUACUAAUUUUCCACUAAUUUGGAUAUUUUGCUGUCAACCAUUAUAUGAUUCAGUUAUUUUAUUUGGCGCAAUAUCUUUCUUCAAGAAUUUAGUUGGAAAAAUAUUUACCUUAUUACUCGUGCUCCACUUGAGUGGUUUCCACUCCAUUCUAAUCUGGUAAAAACAAUGAUUAUUGAUUCAUAUUCUCAUGAUGCACUGCAUAUUAUCAGUCUUCAGGUUUUUUUCUUAUCCUUUUGAACCUUCCCUGCUUUUCUUGGCUUCUUAAUAGUUGACAUGAGCUUUGGGCAGUUUUGGACUGGGAUUUUCUCCAUCCAAUGCAGCCUCAUGGCAGUCCUUAGUUCUGAUAUUUUUGGUUCUUUUUUGGAUAUAUGGGAAAGGUGCCUUUUAUGAUGCUUUUACCCCUUCCUGAAUGUUCUGCCGGUUAUAAUUAUUGAUGAAAUCCUGAAGUUCUUCUCAAGAAAUUCCAAUGGCAUAAGGUUGAGAUUCAGAUUCAGAAGGCCUGAUUUACUUCCAAAGAGGGAAUUGCGGGACAAGUA